UAUAAUUAGCUAGUGUUUUUUUUUUUUCCAGUCAAAUGCAUAAAUCAUCAACUAAUAGAACCGUUCAACUGGGCAAUACAUUCCCAAAUCCAACAAUUAUUUUAAUUGAUGAUUUAUGCANAGGAGACAUAAAUACAAGGUGUUCAUUUAUGUUGGGACUCGAUACACGAGAAAAAUAGCAAUCAAAGAUGAAAAAGAAAAAACACUAGCUAAUUAUAUCUGGAUAAAAUUAGCCUUAGAUUUUCUAUCCUAUCCACUUCCUAAUUUAAACACACUGCUAAGUUUUUCAG
rnacentral:misc_RNA from 1 species